GCCGGGGUGGCCGAGAGGUUCUAGGCGCUACAGUCUGGAACGCUGCGGUCGCAGGUUCGAAUCCUGCCUCCGGCA